UAAGCAUGUUAAGCGCCAGAGCUUGCGUGAUGAACGAUCUUGUUGUAGAGCUGGCUGGGAAGCUGAGCUUGAAGCGGGAGUUCAUACGGGAAGCUGACGAGGUGAAGGUGUUCGAAACAUUCGGCGGGGACCUUCCGGUAUUUGCAAGCCAACCGAAAGCCGUUACGUAAAACGGCCGGGCGACCGGUCAUACAAUCGUACGGCAGGCUGCUCA
rnacentral:ncRNA from 2 species